rnacentral:lncRNA from 1 species
CAAUUUGCUCAGGCACAUUUCUGGUUUGCCAAACCAUAGUAUGAUUUAUGACCACGGUCAUACCAACCAUAGUGAUCUUAUCAGAUAUUCUAUAGUCACGAUAGUACUUAGCCAAGGGUGACCCCUAACAGAUAUUCGCAUCACCACUCUCGUCAGAGGGUAUGCUGUCAUCCACAGGGAGCGGUCCUCUUAUGUCUUUCAGACCAUAUAGGGUAGGAAAAACAGAUAGCCUUGAUGGGGUUAGGGGAAUAGAUAUCCCUCAGAGAUAAAAAGCCUAACGAGACACUUGAUGCAUUAUGCAUGUCAAUACAGAUACAUACUUCGGACCAUUCAUGCUUCAUUCCACAUUUC